ACGCUGGCGGCAGGCCUAACACAUGCAAGUCGAGCGGUAGAGAGAAGCUUGCUUCUCUUGAGAGCGGCGGACGGGUGAGUAAUGCCUAGGAAUCAGCCUGGUAGUGGGGGAUAACGUCCGGAAACGGACGCUAAUACCGCAUACGUCCUACGGGAGAAAGCAGGGGACCUUCGGGCCUUGCGCUAUCAGAUGAGCCUAGGUCGGAUUAGCUAGUUGGUGGGGUAAUGGCUCACCAAGGCGACGAUCCGUAACUGGUCUGAGAGGAUGAUCAGUCACACUGGAACUGAGACACGGUCCAGACUCCUACGGGAGGCAGCAGUGGGGAAUAUUGGACAAUGGGCGAAAGCCUGAUCCAGCCAUGCCGCGUGUGUGAAGAAGGUCUUCGGAUUGUAAAGCACUUUAAGUUGGGAGGAAGGGCAGUUACCUAAUACGUGAUUGUUUUGACGUUACCGACAGAAUAAGCACCGGCUAACUCUGUGCCAGCAGCCGCGGUAAUACAGAGGGUGCAAGCGUUAAUCGGGAAUUACUGGGCGUAAAGCGCGCGUAGGUGGUUCGUUAAGUUGGAUGUGAAAUCCCCGGGCUCAACCUGGGAACUGCAUUCAAAACUGACGAGCUAGAGUAUGGUAGAGGGUGGUGGAAUUUCCUGUGUAGCGGUGAAAUGCGUAGAUAUAGGAAGGAACACCAGUGGCGAAGGCGACCACCUGGACUGAUACUGACACUGAGGUGCGAAAGCGUGGGGAGCAAAC
rnacentral:rRNA from 1 species